rnacentral:rRNA from 1 species
UACGGGAGGCAGCAGUGGGGAAUAUUGCACAAUGGGCGCAAGCCUGAUGCAGCCAUGCCGCGUGUAUGAAGAAGGCCUUCGGGUUGUAAAGUACUUUCAGUCGUGAGGAAGGUGUUAAGGUUAAUAACCUUAGCAAUUGACGUUAGCGACAGAAGAAGCACCGGCUAACUCCGUGCCAGCAGCCGCGGUAAUACGGAGGGUGCGAGCGUUAAUCGGAAUUACUGGGCGUAAAGGGCACGCAGGCGGUUAAUUAAGUUGGAUGUGAAAUCCCCGGGCUUAACCUGGGAAUGGCAUUCAAGACUGGUUAGCUAGAGUCUUGUAGAGGGGGUAGAAUUCCAUGUGUAGCGGUGAAAUGCGUAGAGAUGUGGAGGAAUACCGGUGGCGAAGGCGGCCCCUGGACAAAGACUGACGCUCAUGUGCGAAAGCGUGGGGAGCAAACGAGGGAUUAGAU